rnacentral:rRNA from 1 species
AUGGGCUGCUUGCCGAUUUGCGCAUCCACUACUUAUCUGGGUAUUUCAGGGUGGCAGCCUCUGCAGAAUCCAUUUUUUGGCUCUGAGGUCAUGUCAUCCUGGAAGGAUUUGCUGCAGGGAGACCAGCCAUAUGAUUUCUCAGAUGCUACUGAAUCAAUGCCUCCAUAUGCACAGCUGGGCAGUGAGGUCAUCCUAUUAGUUGUGUUGAUAUCAGGAACUAAUUCAAGGAAGGCUAGGGAUCCAGAACCAAUGCUCCAUUUUCUUGAGUCAUGGGAACGGUUGCUGCCGCCUAUCGUGCUCCAUUCAAUAUUGGAGCAUGUAAUAAUGCCAAAGCUCAUAGCUGCUGUCGAAUCUUGGACCCGCGGAGCUAAAAUAUGCCAAUCCAUGCAUGGGUACACCCAUGGUUCCAACUCUAGGGCAAAGGAUAGAGAAAUUGUGCCACUCUAUCCGGUACAAGCUGAGUAG